AGGUGGGUAGCUUAACAGGCAAAGCAUCCGAUUGUUAUAAUCUGAUUAUUAAGGUUCGACUCCUUACCUCACCUA